AACGAACGCUGGCGGCGUGCUUAACACAUGCAAGUCGAACGGGAUUAGGGGCUUGCUCCUAAUCUAGUGGCGCACGGGUGAGUAACGCGUGGAUAAUCUGCCUGAUGAUCUGGGAUAACAUUUCGAAAGGGGUGCUAAUACCGGAUAAGCCCACGAGGACUUCGGUUUUUGCGGGAAAAGAGGGGGGCCUUCGGGCCUCUUGUCAUCAGAUGAGUCCGCGUACCAUUAGCUAGUUGGUGGGGUAAAGGCCUACCAAGGCGACGAUGGUUAGCUGGUCUGAGAGGAUGAUCAGCCACACUGGAACUGAGACACGGUCCAGACUCCUACGGGAGGCAGCAGUGGGGAAUUUUGCGCAAUGGGGGAAACCCUGACGCAGCAACGCCGCGUGAGUGAUGAAGGCCUUCGGGUCGUAAAGCUCUGUCUAGAGGAAAGAAGUGUGGAGCGGCUAAUAACCGUUUCACUUGACGGUACCUCUGAAGGAAGCACCGGCUAACUCCGUGCCAGCAGCCGCGGUAAUACGGAGGGUGCGAGCGUUGUUCGGAAUUAUUGGGCGUAAAGCGCGUGUAGGCGGUUUCUUAAGUCUGAUGUGAAAGCCCCGGGCCUAACCUGGGAAGUGCAUUGGAUACUGGGAGACUUGAGUACGGGAGAGGGUAGUGGAAUUCCUAGUGUAGGAGUGAAAUCCGUAGAUAUUAGGAGGAACACCGGUGGCGAAGGCGGCUGCCUGGACCGAUACUGACGCUGAGACGCGAAAGCGUGGGUAGCAAACAGGAUUAGAUACCCUGGUAGUCCACGCCGUAAACGAUGAGUACUAGGUGUUGCGGGUAUUGACCCCUGCAGUGCCGCAGCUAACGCAUUAAGUACUCCGCCUGGGAAGUACGGUCGCAAGACUA
rnacentral:rRNA from 1 species